rnacentral:rRNA from 1 species
CCUACGGGUGGCAGCAGUGGGGGAUAUUGCACAAUGGGGGAAACCCUGAUGCAGCGACGCCGCGUGUGGGAAGACGGUCCUCUGGAUUGUAAACCACUGUCCCCAGGGACGAAGAUGACGGUACCUGGGGAGGAAGCUCCGGCUAACUACGUGCCAGCAGCCGCGGUAAUACGUAGGGAGCGAGCGUUGUCCGGAAUUACUGGGUGUAAGGGGAGCGUAGGCGGGGAUGCAAGUUGGGUGUAAAAACUACCGGCUCAACUGGUAGUCGCACUCAAAACUGCAGCUCUUGAGUGAAGUAGAGGCAGGCGGAAUUCGUGGUGUAGCGGUGAAAUGCGUAGAUAGUAGGAGGAACCCCGGUGGCGAAGGCGGCCUGCUGGGCUUUUACUGACGCUGAGGCUCGAAAGUGUGGGGAGCAAACAGGAUUAGAUACCCUUGUAGUC